GAACUGUAGUAUGUAGCAGAUAGGUAGCUAGACCUUGCCUGUCUAUCUACACUUAGUAAGCAUGGUUAUAUGGGAUCCAGCUGUGCCUGUGAGAUUCUUUCACAUUGCUGUUGUGUAAAGAGCAAAAGACACAAGAGCAUUCCAUAUGCACACUCUGAAGAACAGAUGGAUAACAUUAAUAUUUGACAGUGUCUUCUGUUUCUCUCUGCAUACUUUGGAGAAUUGUUUGCAUUUGCAAUACGUGCAAGCACAACAUCUGCCUCUGAGUGAGUUGCUGUGUUCACUACUCAAUGAAGCAAUGAAGCAUUUGAAACGCAAGAACAUCCCUCAGACGCUGUUGCAAGUUGAUGAUUCUUCAUGCUCUAAAUGUUGUAUCUCUUGCAUCCUGUGUCUAUUAAUCUUAAAAUGACAUGUUGCAUGACUGUUUUUAUCACUACUUAAA